AUAGCAGGGGUCGGGGCGGAUCCCAGGGCUGCCCCUAGUUCUCACGGCUGUGCCUAGGACCGGGGAACUGCUGCAAGAGGCGCGGGCCAGGCAGCCAGGGGCUGGGCCCCCCGCAGCGAGGGGCUGGCGGCUGGGGGGCGGAGCGCAGCGCAGCGCCGGUGGCGGGAAAGGGGCGGAGAUGAAGGCUCGGGUUGGGCUGGUCGCUGGACCCAGUUAACAGAACCUGUAAGCCAGGUGGACGAGCGGUCCUCCAGGCUCCAGAGAAGCUCUGCCCGCUUCUCUGAGGAAGCGAGGCCGCGUGUGGGGUCCCGUGGUCUGCGGGUCGUCGCCUUCUCAGGCUGCUGGAGACAGCGCACCAGCGGGCGCACCCUGCGUUCAGGUGGCAGUGUCGAAGCCAAAAGCUUCCAGAAGUGGUUUUUGAAAAAUAAGAGUUGAAUGUACAUGAGUAAGCAAACACAGGAAUCCGAAAAACCACAGCCCAUGACAGAUCAAGCCUAGUACAUUUUCAGCACUUCCGGAGAGUUGUUGCCCAGUCUGUUCAAUAUUCAUCUGGACUCCAUCAUGAAGGAAUGAAACGUAGAUAAGUCGUUAGAAAACUUUUGUAGGAACAGUGCCUCGGGUGAUCAGAACAAAGCCGUUUUAUAAUCAGAUUUACCAAGCUGAGAAGAAGGAGUUUUAGCAAACGGAAGCUGCAGUGUUCUAUCACCAGGAAACAGUGCGUUUUCCAGAAUCGAGGCAUGUGAUUUUUAUCAACAGCUUUAUUGAAGAAUGAUAAAGAAAGAACAACACAUACUUCAUGUGGGAAGUUUGAUGAGUGUGGAUAUAUGUAAACACCUAUGAUGCCAUAACCCAAUUCCCCAUAAUCAAGAGAUGGUCUGUCCACAAUGAACAGAAGUUUCAGUGAAAUGUGAGGAGGCACCUUGAAGCACCCUUCUUCCAGGCCAUAAAAUGUGGGCGGAAAAAAUGAACUCUGUUUUCCUGAAUGCUACUCAAGUUCCUUUGUCACACAACUCAUAGCAUGGUCAUCUAAUUUUUAGCAGAGACAAGAUUUGAUACAGGCGGGCCUCCUAUGAUUUCAGCUAGCCAUGGUGUAUCAAGUUGCAGUGAGACUAGAUGUCUCCUCUUCUAUUAAGGCUGGACAAGGCAAUCAGGU